rnacentral:rRNA from 1 species
CACUUUAGUACCAAGCAAUUCUAUAUCUUUAUAGAACCUUUUAUGUUAAAACUAGUAACAAGAAGCACCCCUUCUCUUAAAUGCAAGUAUAAAUCAGCCAGGACCCACCACUGAUAAUUAACACCCAUGAACUUACAGUAGAAACACCACAAGAAAAUUCUACUACACCCCAUGUUAAUCUAACACAAGAGCAUUACAAGAAAGAUUAAAAGAAAAAGAAGGAACUCGGCAAACAUUAACCCCGCCUGUUUACCAAAAACAUCGCCUCUUGAUAAACUUAUAAGAGGUCCAGCCUGCCCAGUGACUCUGUUCAACGGCCGCGGUAUCCUAACCGUGCGAAGGUAGCGUAAUCACUUGUUCUUUAAAUGAGGACUAGUAUGAAUGGCACCACGAAGGUUAUACUGUCUCCUUUCUCUAAUCAGUGAAACUAAUCUCCCCGUGAAGAAGCGGGGAUAAAAAUAUAAGACGAGAAGACCCUAUGGAGCUUCAAACAAAUACACAACUGCCUAUUUUACUAAAAAUUUCAGGAGAAAAACACCUACCCAGGCACUUUGAUGUAGAGUUUUAGGUUGGGGUGACCACGGAGUAAAAAAUAACCUCCGUAAUGAAAGGUGAGUUUUCCCUAAACUAAGGACUACAACCCUAAGUAUCAACAAAUUGACACCAAUUGACCCAAUACAUCUUGAUCAAUGACCCAAGUUACCCU